UUAGGUUUCUAGCAUUAGGUAAUAUUGAAGUUGAUUUUGACUUUGUUAAUAUUGCCAGCUGAGUCUUAUUUACUUGGUCACUUAGUUCCAAACUCUCAAGUCAAACAAUAUGGAAAAAGACCGAUGUUUUUGUUCUUGAUUUAUUGUGGUUUGUUGGUAAAAUAUUAGAAUUUUUAAAAUUUUUUUUAUCUGAACUUCUUAUCCUUAUAUUUAUCUGGAUGAAGAUGAUAUUGUACAUAAACUUCUUUCAACAUAUAACUUUUAAGCGUCAGCUAUUAGAGUUGGUAGAAUAUUAAACUCUUAAUUAAAAGUAAAAUAUACUAUACAUAAUUAUAAAAUGCCCUUGACCAGUGAAAUCAUAAAACUAUAUUUAUAUCCAAUUUUUUCCCUAUAUAUGGACUCAAAACAUUUUGAAAACGGUAAGUUAACGUAUAUAGCGAAGGUCCAAGGCUGAAAUAAUGAAGUUUGGUGCGACUAGUUAAAGGAAAGCAGGACUAUGAAUUUAAAUGCCCUGGAAACUGGAAAUCAUCUGAUCUUCACCUCGAAACUUCGACUAAUGAAAUGGGGAUUGAAAGGAACGUUAUUGUUAUCAAUGUCUUCCAGGAAGCUGUGACAUCAUCCAUGAGUUUUCCUUAAGCAAACACGGUCAUGACAUUCCACAAAAACCUGUCCCCUUACUAGAAAACCAGAUUCUAACGAGGAAUAUAUUUGCCUGUUUUCCCAUUUAAACAGUAUAUCGUUUCCUGGAAAGCUUUAAUGGAUGAUCUCAGAACCUUUUUUUUUUGUUAGGACUUGUAAUUAAUUUUUAGAUAACAAGUAAUUGUGAAAAAUACAUUCUCUAGAUCAUUAUGUCAACUGUUUUUUCUUUCUAACAAAAUGGGUAGACGUCAUCAGUUUAUUCUUUUGGAAUCUGUAAGUUGGUUCCACAUUCACCUUUGGUAUAUGAUAUUGGUGCUUUAGUAGGCAAAGUUGGUAAGUGAUUUUAAUAUAUUCACACCAUUGCACAGAAUUGCGCACAUAUAUAUAUGUGUGUGUGUCAAGGUACACUAACAAGAUUCUUAAUUUACAGGAAAUUAUUUGUUAAUUCAUUCUUUGAAUUGACAUGUUCUUAUCCUACUAAAAUUUUAAAUUGUAGAAUUAGAAAUUAUUAGCCCAUGGAAGGAUCGGGAAAGAAAAAGGAACAAGUUAAAAGAACUUGAUGCAAUAUUCUAUUGCUUUCCCAAAAGCCUAUAAUAUACAAGGCUACAAGCAGGAUGAUGGUGAAAUGUAAAAGAUCUGAUGAUGAUCGAAGACAACGAUAAUGACAGUGAUGAUGAUGGUGGUGGCGGCGACGGUAGUGACGCUGGUGGUGAUGAGGAGAUUGAUCAUUGGUGAUCUCCAGAAAUUAGUCUCCUCUUCUGCUAAGUUAUUGGUUCUCUUGUUGAUUAAGGCAUUAAUCAUGAGUAUAAGGAUCCGGGACAAGAGCUUUAAAAUAUUACAUCAUCCAUGUUUAAUUUAGUUUUGUUAAUUACCAUAAUAACAUCUAUGUUAACUGUUUGAUGACAAAGCAUUUAUUGAUUGGAAAAGACUUGGAAGCUAUUGUUGCAGUCCAUAAACUGAAAACUGAGGAACUAGAAUAUUAGCAAACAUCAUUUACUUUCCGGAAGAGUUAUAUAACUUGAUAUUAUGGCUUACAGGUUAUAAUCUGCUACUUUACUCUUAAUAUGCUCUUUCUGAUCUGUGCCGAAUAUGCGCUGAGGAAGAGGACAGUACGUAACAACUAUAUGUUUCCAGGAUUAGCCAAACUCGCCAUGUGAUCGAUAAAGUGGCUGUUCGAUUCUUUUCAGUCUGGUAUGGGAAUGGAUUUACCUUUGCGGUAAAGAGUUUCAUAUCAUGAUGCAAUAGGAGAAAGCACGUGCCUCCAUGU